CGCUGACACGUCUGCUCUAAUGCACCUGAAGGACACAAACACAAACAGUUCUACUGGUUUUAAGGUCUGUACUGUAAACAUACUCAACUAUUAAAAGCUACAUAUUAGCUGGUUCUGUGCUGGUUUAAGAUGGUCAUGUGCUGGCUUAAGCAGGUCAUGUGAUGGCUUAAGCUGGUCAUGUGCUGGUUUAAGAUGGUCAUGUGCUGGUUUAAGCUGGUCAUGUGAUGGCUUAAGCUGGUCAUGUGCUGGUUUAAGAUGGUCAUGUGCUGGUUUAAGCAGGUCAUGUGCUGGUUUAAGCUGGUCAUGUGAUGGCUUAAACUGGUCAUGUGAUGGCUUAAGCUGGUCAUGUGCUGGUUUAAGAUGGUCAUGUGCUGGUUUAAGCAGGUCAUGUGCUGGUUUAAGCUGGUCAUGUGAUGGCUUAAGCUGGUCAUGUGCUGGUUUAAGCUGGUCAUGUGCUGGUUUAAGCAGGUCAUGUGCUGGUUUAAGCUGGUCAUGUGGUGGUUUAAACUGGUCAUGUGCUGGUUUAAGAUGGUCAUGUGCUGGUUUAAGCAGGUCAUGUGCUGGUUUAAGCUGGUCAUGUGCUGGUUUAAGCAGGUCAUGUGCUGUCUUAAACUGGUCAUGUGCUGGUUUAAGCUGGUCAUGUGCUGGCUUAAGAUGACCAUGAGCUGGUUUAAGAUGGUCAUGUGCUGGUUUAAGAUGGUCAUGUGCUGGUUUAAGCAGGUCAUGUGCUGGCUUAAGCAGGUCAUGUGCUGGUUUAAGCAGGUCAUGAGCUGGUUUAAGCAGGUCAUGUGCUGUUUAAGAUGGUCAUGAGCUGGUUUAAGCUGGUCAUGUGCUGGUUUAAGCAGGUCAUGUGCUGGUUUAAGCUGGUCAUGUGCUGGUUUAAGCUGGUCAUGUGCUGGUUUAAGCUGGUCAUGUGCUGGUUUAAGCUGGUCAUGUGCUGGUUUAAGCUGGUCAUGUGCUGGUUUAAGCAGGUCAUGUGCUGGUUUAAACUGGUCAUGUGCUGGUUUAAGAUGGUCAUGUGAUGG